CUUUAUUGGUAUAGAACACCUUCAGUGGUAGGAAGCAGUGUGCACUGAAGCUUUUAUUUACCCACCAGCUGACAAAAUGCGACUUUAAAGCUGAGCAACACCACCCUCCUCUCUUUGCAUCCGCAGAGGGAAGAUGCAGCCCCAGCAUAACACAGCAUAACACGGGGCUUCUGACCACGUGGAAGCGCACAGAGUUUGAAGGAAAGAAGAUAAAAGUACUCUUCUUGCUUUUCAUCUUAGAAAACCUGAAAUGAUCUUUUCUGAGCAGUUCUGGAGUGGCAAUGAAGGGACACAUGCACCCAACAAGCAGGCAGGUCGUUGGUGUGCUGGCAUGCUUAGGGGCUGAAUGGGAGUGCGUAAAUGGUGACAACCUGAUUCUGAAUAAAUCCGAUAUAAAGUUGCUUUAUAGUUCUCUCAGCUCCGGGUCUUCAGGUUUGUCUUCAGGACUUCUGAAAUGCACUCUCAGUUUUGAAAUAGUUUUGUUUUCUAACUUUGCAUCACAGCAUCCCAAACUGUGUGAUGGAGUAAUGCAGAGUGGGUAUCUGUAUGUGCCGUGGGUUAAGCAGGAUGAGAUUCACUGAGCUGCGUGGUGAAGGCUCAGAACAGAGGAGUGACAUUUUCCUCUCACCAAAGCUGAGUUUCUGUUGAAACGUGGUUUUGCUUCCAGCUCCCAGUUUCCCCUUCCCUGUCUGGAGAAAACAGGAUCUGCACAGCUCCAUUUGUUCUGUGGGCAGCACGAGGCAGAGGGAAUCUAUUUGUAUGCACUUAAAAGACCCCUCACUGCUUUACAAGUUCUUAAACCUAAAAGAACGGUAGGAAGGGACUGCACACAGCAGCUCUGCUCACUCAGCUUUCUCCCUGGUUGAGGGACAACAAGAACAGGCCAGACAGUUUCCCUUCUGUUUAUAGUUUCUCAGCAUUUUCUCUUUCAUGUUGUCACUUCCUCGAAUAGCAGUACAAUGAAAUUAACUACAAACAUCCAGAUGCUAGUUAAAAACAAAAUGUACCGGAGCAUUGCUCACACUGGGUAACUUAUUACAUGUGCCUUACACCUGCUUUGAAAAUGUCCCCUCAAAGGAAAAGUAAAGCAACUGCUUGGAUUUUAUGUGGGUUUUUGUGAAUGUCUUUUUCAGUUGUUUUCCUUUCAGACCUGGAGCUGAAGCCGUUGGCACCCAAAGAGUUCUGCCCAGAUGUGUGCCCGCCUUCUGCUCAGAGCAGCAGAGCCGAUGAAACACACACUGCACAGCAGCUUGCGAUGCAUGGGAAAGGCUGGACGGGCUGGAGCAGCUCCUCCGAGCUCCUGGUGUACAACAGCACAAAAUGCAAUUGGUCAGAGCGUGAUCAGACUCGCAUAGUUGGAAUACCAAAGGAGCGAGUCACCUUCCACUCUCGCUGUAGCCAGCGUUAGGAAGAGAUGUCCAGGUCUGCAACAGACUGUUUUCUCCUUUUGUUUGGAUGUGAAGGGUUCUGUUCUUCACAGAAGCAGGAACAGACCCCCCACUCAUUGAUUUGCAUCCAGGAAACGGAAGGUAACUGAUAUCAGGGAGACGGACGAGGUGAUUGUAUCCAUGACAACCAGCAGAUACAGCCUUGCUGCCUGGCAGCCCUUCCCUGGUCACCUCCUCUGCCUUCCCAGCUCCAGUGGGUCCCUCUCCUCGAGGCACCUCUUGGUGCAGUUCAGUGUUCCUGAGAAGUAGCUGACAAAUUCCCAAAUGUAGUGUGGCGAGAGCUUAAUCAGUUCUCAUGUCCAUCAGCAGAACGCUUCCCCAAUCUGAGCUGCAUCUGCUUCUGCCAAGGACUCCCUGGCAGCCCCAAAGGUGGCUUCAGGAAAUCCGGUCCAUGGAGGAACAGCAUGACUUGCAGGAGCACUGCACAGAUGCAGGUUGGGCUCAGAACCAGCAGGCAAAAUACAGCAUGCAGCCUGAAAGCAUUUCAGGUAUGCCAACCACCUUAACAAAUGCAGGAAUCAGUGAAUCGAGCAAGGCAGCAGGAUGCUCGCCUCUGCUGGAAGCGCUGGCAGAAGUUAAAUGUGUUGUUCUCUGAGCAGAGCUUCAAUCUGCACAUGUCCUUCUGGGAGGAGAGCUGCCUGCACUGCAGUCCCCGAGGAGUUCCUCACCCCACACCUGCUGGAGUGUCCCUCCUGCAUUCCAGACCUGCCCUGGAGAACGCUGCCACGUGAGGCAGUGCACAGCAGUGAGGAAUGGAAAGAAAUCUGUCACAAAAGGAAAAAGCAAUUCUGCUGCUGAAUCCAGCCAGAGCUCCUUGUUUGCAGGACUCCUGCUGUAUAUCGUCAGUGUGGUGUUUGAACCAUAAUAAGGAAAAAUGUCUCCCUGGGAUCAAAAAAAAAAAAAGUUGAUUUCUCAUCUCUUCCUCUGCACUGGAAAAACAAAGCAGAAGAGCCUGGACCUGGUCAGUAUGCAUGCAGAGCAGCUGGAAAUCUGGAAUAGGAUCUGCAUUUUGCAAACAAAUUUUGCAAAGCAGGAUGCCAGCACCGACAUCGUGUUAUCAAUGCCAUUUAAAAAAGGUUGCAAUCUGCAGCAGCUGGAGGAGGGAUGCGAGCAGACGGCACGCCAUGUACCGAGCAAUAAGGGGAAAAUUAUGGACAGCUUUGGAGCUGAAUGAAUAACUCUCUGCAAGAUCUGCUUCAGCUUGCUCCAACAGUAAGUGACAUCAGUUUAAUUGGCCUCACUUAGCACCAGCCUGGUGGAUCUGUGUUAUUUAAUGCCUUCAUCUGCGACUCAGCGCUUACGGCACAGAGGGGUGCUGUGAGCACAGACAGCAGUGUUGGGCUCACGCUUUCUGUCACCGUGGGAAUUUCUUACAUAGGAUUCCCCCACAUGUGAACAAGACAGCCCUGAUGAUUAGCUCUGAACGUUGUGAAGAUUAACCGGAAUUUCUCAACGUGCUGUGCUCUGUCCUACUUUGGCUUUCUUUGCCUUCACCACCUCUCUGAUCAGCUCAUGGCAUUCAGGCCACACAAGGACGGCUUCGUGGGACAGUGCCCUCACAGUGCAACAGCAGAGCUGUGCUGUCCCUUGGGUCAUUAAAUGAUAUUUCAGCCACACCUUGGUGAAGUCAGCCCUUAGCAAUGCACUCUUUGACUUUUUAUAUAUAUAUAUAUAACAAAUCGUUUUAAAGAGAAAUCUGAGAACACAGUGCUUUGGAUUUCAGUAAAAGCAAGAAGAUAAUUCCUCCUGCACGAGAAACCUGGCAACUCCAAACAGCGCUGGAUGUGUUCUGAGCAGUUGUGCUUACAGCACCUUUCCUCCGAGCAUCCCUGAGCACCGAGGCAAGGCGGGUUUGUUACCCGUAUUGGAGGAGGGCACCGCGAGCAGCGCCUCAUCUCAAACCGAAGAAUCCAAAGGUGCGCGUGGAUAUACACACGAUCUCUGUCCUUCAACCAACGUCGCUGCCCGAAGGAACGACGCGGGG
ensembl:lncRNA